rnacentral:lncRNA from 1 species
AUGCCGCUUCCAGAAUGCCAUAGCACAGGCACGACUCAGGCCCCACAUCGGGAGAGGCUCCAUCCACUCUUCUCGGAUCCUUCAGACCAUUUGCGAUUUUGUGAUAAAAACACACGCGUGCGCGCGCGCACGCACGCACGUAGGCACGCACACAUGCGCGCACACAACGAAACCCUGACCUGUGGCUGUCCUAGCAACCACCGCUACCGCCAGCAUCAAGCCGGCGUGCUGGCCAGGCAGACGUUGGGAGAAAAACUGGACAAUGGGCUCCCACUGUUCUGGGUUUGGAAAACACGGUCGUCUUAACAAGAAAAGCAGCCAAAACUCUGAGCACACCUACUCGGCACCAGGCCCCGUGCUUCACAUUGUGAGCUCAAGGAAGCCUCCAAAGAGCUCAUUUCAGAGCUGCACACAGAGGCCCAGAGACGUUCGGCAACUGGACUGAGAUCACACAGCUGCUCCCUGGGGAAACCAAGAUUUGAAGGUCCCAGGUCGUCUGGGACUCGGCAGCCUACACGGGAUCCCGUUAAGACCUAGCUGACCAGGGAGUUAAGCCUCACAUGUUCACUUCCCCAGUUCCCAGCUCUUUUCUAAUCGGCCGGCUUGCACCAGCUCAUAAGAUAGGGUUGCUACAUUUUCAGCAAGGCUGUGAAUCUGUCAAUGACUCAGGUAGCUCGGAAUGGGCCAUGGUGGGAGUAGCUUCGCCACAGAAAUGGGCAAAUGCUGCAAAUCAGGGCCGGUUGUUAAACAUUUACCAACACGCCACUGCACGCAGGCGUUAGAGCCAGACGACCCGUGCAGACCCUGGGCCCACCGCUUACCGAGUGGCCCGGGCAAGUUUCCUAGUCUGGACAUUCGAGAGAACGGCAGUGCUCGACUCACCGGCUUGUUGCAAGCUUUAUGUAUAAUAAUCGACAUUAAGCACCCAGCGCAGCAGAAGUGAUGGGCUAGCCUUGGUUGUAAAAAUGUGUCCUGCAACUACUACUAAUUACUAGUAUUAUUAGGGGGCCAUCCCCGUUCUUCUAGAGCCCAGCCACAAGUCCUAAACUUUCUCCCUGCCUCCAGGCUUGUGCCCUCCGCCUCCAAUGCAUCCUCCUCGCAGAGGUGAUGGGGGAAACUUCUAGAAUACACAUAUUACCUCAUUUUUCCUGUGCUCGAAGUAUUUCCAUGGCUCCCUAUUACCCUCAGAGAAAAAUUGCUGCUUCAAACUACCACAACCGCGUAGUCUGCUGGGGCCCACCUAACAAAGUAGCACGGACCGAGGGGGGAGCUUAAACCACAGAAAGGCAAGGACCAACAACUCUGG